rnacentral:rRNA from 1 species
GGGGGGGGGGGGGGGGGGGGGGGGGGGGGGGGGGGCGGGGGGGGGGGCGGGGGGGGGGGGGGGGGGUGGUGGCGGACGGGUGGGUAACACGUGAGCAACCGGCCCCUGACUCUGGGAUAGGCGCUGGAAACGGCGUCUAAUACUGGAUAUGUCCCGUCACCGCAGGGUGUGCGGGUGGAAAGAUUUUUCGGUUGGGGAUGGGCUCGCGGCCUAUCAGCUUGUUGGUGAGGUAAUGGCUCACCAAGGCGUCGACGGGUAGCCGGCCUGAGAGGGUGACCGGCCACACUGGGACUGAGACACGGCCCAGACUCCUACGGGAGGCAGCAGUGGGGAAUAUUGCACAAUGGGCGGAAGCCUGAUGCAGCAACGCCGCGUGAGGGAUGACGGCCUUCGGGUUGUAAACCUCUUUUAGCAGGGAAGAAGCGAAAGUGACGGUACCUGCAGAAAAAGCACCGGCUAACUACGUG